UGGGGAAUAUUGCACAAUGGGCGCAAGCCUGAUGCAGCCAUGCCGCGUGUGUGAAGAAGGCCUUCGGGUUGUAAAGCACUUUCAGCGGGGAGGAAGGCGAUAAGGUUAAUAACCUUGUCGAUUGACGUUACCCGCAGAAGAAGCACCGGCUAACUCCGUGCCAGCAGCCGCGGUAAUACGGAGGGUGCAAGCGUUAAUCGGAAUUACUGGGCGUAAAGCGCACGCAGGCGGUCUGUCAAGUCGGAUGUGAAAUCCCCGGGCUUAACCUGGGAACUGCAUUAGAAACUGGCAGGCUAGAGUCUUGUAGAGGGGGGUAGAAUUCCAAGUGUAGCGGUGAAAUGCGUAGAGAUCUGGAGGAAUACCGGUGGCGAAGGCGGCCCCCUGGACAAAGACUGACGCUCAGGUGCGAAAGCGUGGGGAGCAAACAGG
rnacentral:rRNA from 1 species